rnacentral:lncRNA from 1 species
GGCGCCUGUAAUCCCAGUAAUCGAGAGGCUGAGGCAGGAGAAUCGCUUGAACCCAGGAGGCGCAGGUUGCAGUGAGGCAAGAUCAUGCCACUGCACUCCAGCAUGGGCAACAGAGCGAGACUCAGUCUUAAAAAAAAAAAAUUCUAACAGUACAAUGUAAUCCCUAAAAGUAAGGUUAAUCACUUUAAAGUCAGAGGCAAGACAAGUAUGUCCACUAUCUGCUUCUAUUGGAGUUGCAUUAGAGGUCCUUGCUUGUGCAGUUACAUGCAGACAAUAAAUUUAAAAAUACAAACACUGGAACAGAAAAAACAACCAAAGAGUCAUUUUCUACAGAAGAUAUAAUUAUCUAUAAAGAAAACCCAAAAUAAUUAACAGAGAUAUUAUUAGAAUUAAUAAGAGAGUUUAGCAAUUUGGCUAAAAAUAAGAUCAAACAUUUACAUUUUACACCAAUAACAAUAAAGAAAGUAUAGUUAACAAAUAGAUAACAUUUAAAAUAACAACAGAAAUAUACAGUAUCUAAAAAUUUAAUAAAAGAUGUAGAUCAUUGUGGAUAUAAUUUUACAACUUUACUGAAUAACAUCAAAGAAGUCAUAACUAUGUGAAGAGAUGUACCAUGUUCAGGGGUAGGAAGGUUCACUAUCCUAAAAGGUAUAAUUCUUUCCAAAUGUAAUAAAAGAUUCCAAUUUCAUGAGGGUUGUUUUGUUUUGAAAAAUCUUGCCCAAAUAAUUCUAAAAUGUAUAUAAAAAGGCAACAAGGCAAAUACUACUGAAAAAGAUUAAUAGUUUGUGAGAACUUGCCUUAUAAUAACAAUUUAAUGCCACAGCAAUUAAAACAUUGUUGUAUUAUUACAAGGAUAGAUAAAAACACCAAUGAACUUGAACAGAGAGGCCAGACAGUUGGUUUAUGAUGUGGCUGGCAACACAAAUCUCUGGGAAAAGAGAUCCUCUUCAAAAACAUGCUCUAGGACAACUGUUCAGCGAUAUGUGGGGGAAACAAUAUUUGAACCCUACCUCACACCAUUCACAAAAAAGAAAUUCUGUAUGUGUUAAAUAUGAAAGGCAAUUUUAAAGCUUUUAAAAAUAUAGGGGAAAUAUCUUUAUAUCUUAAGAAUUUGGAAAGAAUUUUUAAAAGACACAAACAAACCAUAAAAGAAUUAAUAGAUACAUUUCAUCACAUUAAAAUAUAAACUUUUAUCAUCAAGAAAUAUAAAGAGUGGAAGACAAGCUCCAAACUAGGGGAAAAUAUUUACAACAUAUGUAACUGACAAGGUAUCUAGAAUGUGUCCAGAAAUCCUAAACGUCAAAAGAAAAAAGACAAAUGAUUGUGUAGAAAAAUGAACAGAAGACAUGAAUAGGUCUUUCACAUAGUGGGAUAUUAAAAUGCUCUAAAAACACAUUUUACAGCAUUCAACUCAGCUAGUAAUUAGGGAAAUGCAAAGCAAGAUCACAAUGACAUUCUAUUUUAUAUUCACUAGAUAGGCAAAAUAAAAACGUCUUUCACCAUGAAGUUUUGGAGAGAAUAUGGAGCAACAGAAAGUGUUCCAACACUGCUGGUGGGUGUGUUAAAACUUUGCAAAGCAAUUUGACGUUACCUUGUACACCUGAACAUGUGCACACCCCGAGAAUGUGCAAGCCCAUUACACGGUGAUGCAUGCUCAAGCAUGAUUGUAAACGGCAAGUACUAGCAAUGCUACAAAUAUCUCUAGUAUCCAUCAACAGAAAAACAGAUACACAAACGAAUGUAGCACAGGGACAAAUGUUAGAAACCUUUGUUGAAUGAUACCAGCAUAUCUGAAAUGACUACACGGAUUGUGAUACCGUUAUAUAAACUUGAAAAAAAAGCAGUAUAGUACUUCAGGAAACAUAUGCAUUUUUAAAACUUUUAUAAAACAAGAAAUGAUUUUUAAAAGUUAUAGUAGUUACAUUGGAAGGAUAUACAGGAGCACGUGGGAGACCAUACAAGGAGCUUCAUCAGUAUUAGUAAUAAUCCCAUUCUUAACUUUAGUGAACAGUUUGUGAGUCUUAGCUUUUAAAUUAUUUGUAUAACUUUCAUAUGAUUUUAUAUAUAUAGUUUAUAUAUAUAUAAACUUUUUUAAAGAAGAAGGCUAUGUUAUGCAGUAUAAAUAUACUAUAUGUGUGUACAUAUGUGUAUAUAUAUAUACACAUACACACAUAUGUAUAUAUGUAUAUGUACACAUAUAUAUACACACACACAUACACACAAGCCACUGAAAAUAGAGCCUUUUUUUCCUUAAACAGAAUAUCGAAGAGAAACAUUGCAUUAACUAUAAUUAGUUACAUGCCUGCCUUCUUGGAACACAUUAGGAGUCCAGGCUUUAUUUAAAAAUGUAUUCAUUUAUAUAAAUUCCUGUCUGUCUAUAUUGGUUUUCUAGGACUGCCAUAACAAAUUACUGCAAACUUGGUGGCUUAAAACAACAGAAAUUUAUUCCCUCCCAGUUCUGAAGGCCAGAAGUCUGAAGUAAAGAUGGUAUUGAGUUUGCGCUCCCUCCAAAGGCUCUAAGUGAGAUUCUGUCCCUCCCUUUCCAGUUUCUGGUGGCUCUCAGGAUUCCUGGGCUUAUGGCUGCAUCACUCCAAUCUCUGCCUCCAUCUUCACCCCACCCUCUUCUCUGGGUCUCUCUAGUUUCUUUCUGCCUUUAUCCUAUAAUGACAAAAUUGGAUUUACAGGGCUCAUCCAGAUAGUCUGGAAUGAUCUCAUUUCAAUGUCUUUAACUUAAUUACCUCUGAAAUGACCCUAUUUCCAAAUAAGGUCAUAGUUACAAGUUCCAAGUGGACAUAUUCUGGGAGGAGGAGCACCCUUCAAGCCACAUCACCUUAUGCUGCAUUUGUUAGGAAGCAUAUAGAAUUAACUGAAUUUGAUGAGCAACUGAAGUGUUCUGAGAUGGCAAUGGGAUAAUAGAGAGCGAUGGGAAAGCCUGAAGAUGAAAGGAAGGUUCCAGGAACAAUGUCAAGAAGAUAGAAGCGGGUUCAAGAGGAAGUUUGUUUGCAGGGCAUGGCCAGUGGGAAGUUGGCUAUAAGAGUAAUGUUGGAAUCAAAGCAGAAAGCUCUAGGAGUGCAUAUCAAACCACCUCCAGUGUGAGUCAAGCCAGAGACCUAACUAAUCUAAUGCACUGAAAUGAAUUCUGAGGUAUUGAAUUUGCAUUAACUGUAAUUGACCCAUCCUGGAAAUUCUUCGCCCUUUACAAAAAGGUCUGGUUUUAUCCUUUUCCUCCAUGACCAAACCAAUUUCAAUGGGGGCAUGGUGACUCUCUCGAGGUUACUCUCGGGACUUCUGGUACAUUGCUGAAAUGUAAAUGGCUCCAGCUAUGCUUUCACACAUAGCUUCUGAAGAUCUGAUUAAUCUCUUUUAAACGGACAUGGAAUUGUAUUUGUCUACACCAGAUGAGAGAGGUCAUCACUUUUACAACCAUAUGGCUGGGCACUGCCUUAAAUCCUAACACCUUUUGUCACUACCGUUGUUUUGCACUUUAUCUGUUCUCUUUUGCCUUUUGAUUUCCACCUAAUUCCUCCAUAGUUUGGGAAAUAGGUUCAAAUUGAGGAUAGCUUAAAAUAAUUGAGGCUAUAAUGUUUGAUCUAGAAGGUGCAUUAGAAAAUAUUUAUGUAAGUUUUCUCAUUUUUGCAAAGGUCAAGAGGUUAGGUGGCUGCAUGGAUGGCAGGAGCAGUGGUAGAGAUUGGAGCAGAACUCAGCUGUCUUGGGUGAUCUUUGCACUUAAGAGGCCAUGUAUCUUCUUGGAUAUGAAUCAUACAAUUUCUGGACAUUUAGUAGGCCUUCAGAAGGAAAUGUUGGGUUAGUAGUUGUUCAACAUGGAAUUGCUAUGUAAGAUAUUUGAUCAGUAAGAAACUAGAUUCCUCUGUGAAACUGACAAAAAGUAGAAAGCAAUCUGAUUUAUAGGUCACCAUUUUCCCUUUGUUCCUUUGGACUUGAGAAUUGUGAAACACAGCCCAAGUAUGUAGAAAGAACCCAGGUAAAAAUGGGCUCUUUGCCCAUUUUAAAAUUUGCCCAUGCAAAUACACAAGCGAUAGAUUUGAUUUUGAUGGGAAAAUCUGGUCACAUUUCCCCUUUCAUCUUGGCUACCCUGCCACCGCAGAAAGCUCUGCCCUCAUGACUGCAGUGCAUUUGCUUAUGCAAAGUUGGUAUUAAAAAUCUGGUUCAUCAAAAGAGGAAAAAGAUGAUUGUCACAAGGGGAAGGCUUCUCAGAACUGAAGACAAGCUGCUCCUUUCCAACUGAAAAUGUCAAACAGUUAUUCAUACGGUUCUUACCAGACUUGAUUUAUGUGAGCAACUGCCAAUCCUUAACCUCCCCCUCAUGCAAGUGCAAAUGGAAAGCCUGUUCGUUCAGCCAUUAAUAUCGUGUUAGUUUUGUUUGAUAUCCUGAAUAGAAAAUCAUUUCUUCCCUCUAUGUAGGAGUUAUUGAUUUACCCUGAUGUUCACUUUAAAAUCUCUUAGUUUCUAAAUAUGCUUGUUGUUUACCUGCAGUGUUGUAAAAAAUAUGAUUAUUUUCUUUAUGGUUUUCUAGAAGUUUGGCUUUAAAAAAUAAACAUUGCAUGCAAACUGACUUGUAAUUUGAAUUCAUAUUUUCCAAGCCCAGUGAAAAUUACACUCCUUAUGGAAAGAGAAAAAAAA